rnacentral:rRNA from 1 species
GACGAACCGUGCGAACGUUGUUCGGAAUCACUGGGCUUAAAGGGCGCGUAGGCGGCUCGCGAGGUCGGGGGUGAAAUCCCACGGCUUUAACCGUGGAAGGGCCUUCGAUACCGGCGGGCUGGAGGAAGGUAGGGGUGCGCGGAACUUCUGGUGGAGCGGUGAAAUGCGUUGAUAUCAGAAGGAACGCCGGCGGCGAAAGCGGCGCACUGGACCUUUUCUGACGCUGAGGCGGCGAAAAGCUAGGGGAGCAAACGGG